AUACGCUCUGGUCCAGUCAGACUCAACUUAGAAAACGAGACGACUUCAUUCUGCUCUGCUCCGUUCAACUGACGUUCAAAUACAGCAUCCAAGAAUGAAGUGCAGGCGCUUGUUGCUCUCCCUGCCUCUCUUACCCACCAUCACUGAGACACUGGAGGACUCUCCUGUCCAUCCCUCAUCCUCCCAAACCACCCAGGGCUCCCAGUCUCUAGACGACUACAUGAGCAGCAUCCAGGCCCUCGCCUGCCCCGCUGAGGCCCCGAGCUGCGGCCCCGUCAGGCUCCAGAGAACCCCCAGGCUACGGCAGUUCUCAAAAGCUCAGAUGAAGCUUUCAGCCUCACUUCCUCGCGGAUCUCCCCGCGCACUAAGGACUUCCAGACCUUCCAGUGGGAGUCUGAGCAGCACAGAGGAGAUUUCUCUCAGACUGGGCAAAGAACGAGACUGCAGGGGCAAAGACCCGGUGGACUGGCUGUAUGGUCAGAUAAGGACUUGAACAUUGAGGUUGUUGUUGUUGUUGAAAGUCCUGGGGGCACUUUGGAGGAGAAUCCCGGAUCAAACAAGGCUGGAAGAACCUGCUCUAUUCAGGAGGAUUUGAACAAAGCAAUGUCUGAUGGGACUUAUUAUGUUUGCUAGACAAAAUCCCCUUAUUAUUCUUCAGUAAAAUGAAGACGUCUUUAUUUUUUAUGCACUGAGGACCGAAGUCUACAUGUUUACAUUUUUAAAUAUUUUGUAAAGAUUCAAAGGAUAUAGUUUGUAAUAAAAUGCAAAAAAAUAAU